rnacentral:lncRNA from 1 species
CUGAGCUUCUGUUUCCUUCUUUCAUGUAAAUCAUUAAUCUAAGAUUUAGUUCAGUGCAUAUUUGAGAUGAGGCUCUAACAACAUAUACAAUAUACAACAAUAUAUAUCAACAACAAUAUGUAUUAUUAAAUACAUAUAUGUCAUCUCCCUGAAGCCCUACAAGAGCCUAAUGAGAUAGAUGGUGAUAUAAUUUAUAGAAUAGGAAACUGAAUGCACAAAGUCACUUGGCUGUUGUCAGAUAAGGAGAUCAAUCACAUUCUCUCUUAAGAAUAUAAUUUGGAGACAUAAAAUAGGAGUUGGUAGACGGCAUUUGAGCUAAAAGUUCAUGCACAGUUGGGGCUGGAGUUGGUGUCUUGACAACCUAAUUUAUUUGAAUUAUUGGGUGACAGGUGGGGGUGAGUAGGCAAAAAACGUACAAUGAAAGAAACCCCUCUGAAGAGGAGAUAAAGCUGACUGCAGAGAAAAGUGGAGAUCAAAAGA